rnacentral:misc_RNA from 1 species
GAAAUGCGAUAAGUAGUGUGAAUUGCAGAAUUCAGUGAAUCAUCGAAUCUUUGAACGCACAUUGCGCCCUUUGGUAUUCCUUAGGGCAUGCCUGUUCGAGCGUCAUCUAAACCUUCAAGCCCUGCUUGGUGUUGGGUGCCUGUCCCGCCUCCGCGCGCGGACUCACCUCAAAUCCAUUGGCGGCCCCCGCGUCGGCCACGAGCGCAGCAGAAACGCGAACUCGUGAGCCCGUCCGGGCGGCUCCCAGAAGCUACACCCACCCAGUUUGACCUCGGAUCAGGUAGGGACACCCGCUGAACUUAAGC